GUGCUUGCUUUGGCAGCACAUAUGCUAAAAUUGGAAUGAUACAGAGAAGAUAAUUAUGACCCCUGCACAAGGAUGACACGCAAAUUUGCUUAGUGUUCCAUAAUUUA